UGAGGAUUAGGCAAGCUUGGUAAGCCAGCAGACUUUGAAUCUGCCAUGCAUACGUUCGAAUCGUAUAUCCUCAG
rnacentral:tRNA from 1 species